rnacentral:lncRNA from 1 species
AGACGCUGCGGUUCCAGGACUCCACCUCAAUGGCGGGAAAACCGCAACCUGCACUGCUGCUGCUAAGUCACUUCAGUCGUGCCCGACUCUGUGCGACCCCAUAGACGGCAGCCCACCAGGCUCCCCUGUCCCUGGGAUUCUCCAGGCAAGAACACUGGAGUGGGUUGCCAUUUCCUUCUCCAAUGCAUGAGAGUGAAAAAUGAAAGUGAAGUUGCUCAGUCGUGUCCGACUCUUAGCGACCCCAUGGACUGUGUAGCCCACCAGGCUCCUCCAUCCAUGGGAUUUUCCAGGCAAGAGUACUAGAGUGGGGUGCCAUUGCCUUCUCCGGCAACCUGCACUGCACACGCCCAACUCAGUGAGCAUGCGCAGUGUGUGCGGGCGCAUCCGUUGCUGCGCAUGCGCCUUGGUGCGCAUACGCCUUCCUGAGCGAUCUGUGAGGAGCGUUGGGCGUGAGACGGGUCUGUUUAUUCAGUCCCGGUUCUUUCUCACUACUUGAGACUCACCAGGGAGAAAUAUGAGUGGGCAAGUGGCAUCAAAAUUGGGACCUACAAAUCAAGAUUGCGCCCAGGUGGAUGAACCUGUGGUUGUGAGUACCUUGCCAUUUGAUGUUUUCUACUAGCACAAGUUUAUUUUUGAGAAAAUGAUGUUAAGUAGUACAGAUGCAGUGAUAAAGGUCUUCCAUGCUGAUAAAGGGUGAGAAUUUGUCUUAGGAAGGAACAUUGAUCCAGAUAUAGUCUGGCAUUGCCUGGAUGAGUAUACUGUUAAAUUCCCUGGAAAUGUGCCCAGUGACUCCCUCCUCCUGCUUAUUAACAACAGACUGCAUGCUUCCAUCCCAACAUAGAUUUAAAUAACUUCCAAAGUCUUUCUGGGUAACUCUUAUGGGAGCUAAUUCAUCUCUGUGUGAAGAGUAACAUUAUUAAAAGUAAGUACAUAGAAUUGUGUUGGGAAAAUGUUGUUAGGUUUACUUAUGCUCAGAUAUAUCUAUGUAUUAUGUAUAUUUAUGCUAUUAGAUGUAUUAACAACAAAAAGGUUUUAUUUGCAUGCACACUCUACUUGGACCAGCAGCCCAGUGUUGAGCAACCUCAACAAGAGGAACCGCCAGCUGAGAUUCAGGAUAUCACACCUAGAAAGGAGGAAGUACAUGGAGAGGAUCCAGUGAAUCGUGAUGAAGAAGAGGAGAAGGAUCCCUUUGAAGAUUCUGGCCUGGAAGCUGAUCUCCAGCAAUUGGCUCUGGCAAAGACUGGGGGUGAAGGUGGAGAUGGUCCUGAUGUCAGGGAGGAGUUUGCAUCAAAUACAGAGCCUGGUGAAAUGCCAGAAGCAGGUGAAGGGCAGCCAUUUGCUUGAAAGAAGAUAAACUGAAACCAUCUAUGCUGUUCUUAUGUUGUGUAUUUGACUGUUAAAGUUCUGUCAAUAAAGUUUCCUUUUCUAAUUGCA